GGAGAGGUACCCAAGUUGGCCAAAGGGUACCUCUCCACAAUUUAUUAUUUUAAAUCUGUUGUCUCAGACUUCACUGGUUCGAAUCCAGUCCUCUCCACCA
rnacentral:tRNA from 1 species